AAGCAUGCUUGGGCGAGAGUAGUGCUAGGAUGGGUGACCCCCUGGGAAGUCCUCGUGUUGCAUCUC
rnacentral:rRNA from 1 species